UACGGGGGGGCAAGCGUUGUUCGGAAUUACUGGGCGUAAAGGGCUCGUAGGCGGCCAACUAAGUCAGACGUGAAAUCCCUCGGCUUAACCGGGGAACUGCGUCUGAUACUGGUUGGCUUGAAUCCGGGAGAGGGAUGUGGAAUUCCAGGUGUAGCGGUGAAAUGCGUAGAUAUCUGGAGGAACACCGGUGGCGAAGGCGGCAUCCUGGACCGGUAUUGACGCUGAGGAGCGAAAGCCAGGGGAGCAA
rnacentral:rRNA from 1 species